rnacentral:rRNA from 1 species
ACGAACGCUGGCGGCGUGCUUCACCCAUGCCCGUCGAACGGAAAGGCCCCUUUGGGGGUCCUCGAGUGGCGAACGGGUGAGUAACACGUGAGUAACCUGCCCUUGACUUCGGGAUAACUUCAGGAAACUGGGGCUAAUACCGGAUAGGAAUCCUUGCUGCAUGGUGGGGGUUGGAAAGCUUCGGCGGUUUUGGAUGGACUCGCGGCUUAUCAGCUUGUUGGUGGGGUAGUGGCUUACCAAGGCUUUGACGGGUAGCCGGCCUGAGAGGGCGACCGGCCACAUUGGGACUGAGAUACGGCCCAGACUCCUACGGGAGGCAGCAGUGGGGAAUAUUGCACAAUGGGCGGAAGCCUGAUGCAGCAACGCCGCGUGCGGGAUGACGGCCUUCGGGUUGUAAACCGCUUUCAGCAGGGGCGAAGCUUGUGGUGACGGUACCUGCAGAAGAAGCACCGGCUAACUACGUG